ACCGCCAGCGCAAAAACGCACGUCGAUGUCUCUUUACCUGUUAAACGCGACGCUCAGCAGAGCAGGAUUUUGCACGCCGUUUCCAGCGACAUGGGAUAACGCGCACCGGCGCGCCUCGACAAGCUCACGGCGACUGAUCGCUGCGGAUUACCCGGCGUGACUGGCUUCCGGUAAGGACCGUGCAGCUUCCGUUUCAUCGCACCGUCCGUAUGGCUUAUUUCGACUGCAACUUCUACGCUAUGCUGCGUUAUCUCAGCAGGAUUUUGCGUCGAAAAUCCUACUAGGAAUUUUUCGACGAUCCAAAUCGAGUCCAAUGGUCUAUCACAUCAACUCCAAUCGCGGUUGAAACUGAUACUGCAGUUCUGAUGAACGACGGGGGAAAGGGUUUUCCCGGGGCGGCGCAACGUAUGAACGUAAGACGGCUCUCGGGAGGAACGAACGAAAUUUGUAACAACUGACGAGCUGACGACGACCGGCUGAAUGCACCGACUGUCCUCCGGCUGGCGCUCGAGAACACCAACAUUAUGAAUCGAGUUCGGCGACAAGUAGCAGCCGAGCCGCUGGGAGCGAUCCAACGACGCGAAGCAGCUAGAGUUGUUACGUCGAUACGAAACGCCGACACAGCUGGGGCCAUCUUUCUAGUGAGUAUAUCAUAUUGUUGAAAAUUGACAAAAGUACAAAGCUUUUUUAAUUGAACGCGUGAGUUUAGCUCGUGAUUCAGGACAGUUUUGAUAACCCAUUUGAUUGUGCAAGAUAUCGACAUUACUUCUUGUUGAGAAUAAUGUCAAAGACAAGUCUUUAUUCUGAAUUCUUCUUUAUCGUUGAAAGUGCCUCUAAAUGAGUUUAUAAACCAAUCAAAAAGCUUAAAAGUCACACUCAGGAUCGAUUUUUUUUUCAAAAACAAUUUGAACUUGAAUUUAAGUUGAAACUUUAUUCUAACAAUAUUAACAUUGGCAAGCAAUAUAAAUAUUGCUGUUAUACAGAAUUUAAAUCUAAAUCUAAGUUUGAAGAGUUUAAACCUAAAUCUAAGUUUGCUCAGAGUUUAAACUCGAAUUUAAAUAAAUCUAACUUAAAUCUACUAUUGAAAAAUUGGCCUUUAGAGACAAUUUUACAGAUAAAAAAGAAGAUUUCAAAACGAGGACAUUGGUGAGCGGUUUGAUUUUGAAAAGAUGUUGACUGAUGUGCGCUGUUCUUUAUGUCGCAUUUGAAAGGAUAGAAAUUUUCACUGAAAUCGCCAUGAAUCGUCAAAGUGACGCGAUGAGUAACGUUUGGCGUGUCGUUUCAACGUGAAAGUGGAAAUUCGAGACGCAUUGCGUAGAAUAUUUACGAGUUAGGGUAAAACACGAGGCAAAAGAUCCUCUCCUGAAUAUUGCUCAACCGGCGCCGUGUGAAAGUCGCUGUACAUUCUUUCGAAACCCCGCACGCACGCUCGCGUUUAUUUUUCGGAGUGUGGAAUACGCGCGGCUACGCGUGCAUGCGUACGUGUAUAUUAGGAGACGUUAUAUACGCGCGCACGCAAGCAAGCACGCACGAUACGUCGACGGAAUCGCCGUUCUAUUAUUAGACCGCCGGCGCUCGUCGUUGCAUCCGACGGCGGAAUGAAUGGAGAAUAUGCCCUCUGAAUAUUAGGAUGUCGUUCAUCGUGCCUUCUCGAGCGAAAUUAUCCGUCACUCGUCGAGAAAUGUAGAUUCGCGAUGUAAACCCGAACGCUUUCUUUUGGUUUCUCCUUCUCGGAAAGUCGGUCGCGUAUCGCGGUAAUUUUCGGAAAUCGAUCUUUAUGUCGACGCACAUUUCGAUAAUUACAUUUUUACACGGGCUCUCUGCCGUAUCGUGCAGUGCGACGAUACAAAAAAGAAAAAAACGAUCAGGAGAAUCGUUGGUGAUGUAUACUUGCCUUUUAUUUCGCAUCGUAAUAUACCCAUAAACAAUAUACUGAACAGUAAAUAUCGCUCUAAGGAAAUGCAGACGCGAAUACAAUCUAUCGCAAUUUGUUUACAUACAUUCUUCUUGCAUUAUCUAUACCUAGUUGAACGUACCGGCUAAAUUGAUGUCGUCGCGUCUUACGAAACAAUAAUAGCUUACGAUCACGUUGCAAUCUCUAAUACUUAGGAAAGCACGAUUCUAUCGCGCUGUACCGUUAUAAUCAUUACAAUUACGAAAUCGGUCUUAUUGCCAGUGAGAUAUCGAUUUGUACAAAGUAAUCUAACAACGAAUUUGGCCAAACUUGUGUUGACAGGAUAGUAGGUUUUUCGUUUCCUUCUCGCGAAAAAUUCAACUGACGGUUCCAUUGCAAAUCUCCCUCGUACGAAAUUGAAUGGAACUAAAUAGUUUCUCGGAUAUCGCCGCAUUGUCGCCGCGAUAUCUAUCACUUUCCGCGUUUAAAUAUAAAUGUAAGAACUUUCGCAUAGAAAUACAAUAUAAAUAUAGAUGACGAUUCGAAGAGUGAUGAUUUGUUUCGAGUUUCCGUGGCACAGGUACUAUACAACUCAGGAUGACAUAAAUAAAUUAUACAAUUGUUUCUCUCGUAAAAAAAAAUUCUAACGUAGACCUGUAAAUCUAUAAUCACGAUGACGAAUGUACUAACAAUGAUGGAACAUUAAUUAAUAAUGUCCUAAUUAUCUAAAAUUAUCAUAAAUAAAAGCGCAUAACUGAUACUGCAAUGAUAUGCGGUAAAACCGUAAUGACAUUCUCAAUAUACAUAGUAAGCUCGGGAAUUACGUUAUCGAGUUCCUUAUACGGUGUGUACAAAACAGUAUGAUCUGAUUGUGUAAAUGUUAAAUGAAAAUGUAUCCUAUCCUCCUGCAAACAAUAAGCACCCAUUUUAAGUGUCAUGACAGAGGUAAACUAAACGUCGAAGUAAACUAAACACAUAUUCACAUUUACGUUUCGCUUACAAUUAUAUGUAUAAAGUAUCAUACUAUUAUAAAAAUAUAACGUAUCGUCGUAGAUCCUCGUAUUCUCAGAUAACUAUAUAAAUCAUCGGGACGAAAGUGAAGAAACGUCGCACAUUUACACAUUGGCCUUAACAAAAAUGAAAGCAUAUACAUAACAUGAUGAACACCUGCGCUAUCUCCUCCUAUCAAUUUCGCAUGAAAUGUUAAUCGAGACAGACAUCUUCAUAGACAGUUUCUUCUUAAUAUUUUAUCAAUCUUGAGCAUCUAGAUAGAGGAAAAGAGAUACAAUUGUUAUGGAAAACAUGAUUUUACGAGAAACAUGACGUGUUCAAGCCCCAAGUCAUAUGUGUCUUUCGCGUUUAACAUUUCUUUACGAUAUUGCACAAUUAAUUUUUAAAUAAAAAUCUCGCUACAGAGGGCGUAUAUCUCUAUCUGUAUCAAACUUCUUGCACAGCUAUCUUUGUUACUUAUAUAAAUAAGUUGUAAAUUAAUCCUGUUAUCCGAACACUUUAUAUUAUCCUUCCCGAACACGAUCAAAUCUAGUGACUGUAAAGUACAAUUGUCACAGCGUAAAAUUUAACGAGCUGAGUUAAAGAUGAUAUAUAUUGGAUGUACAUGAUUGAAUUUCAGGCGUAUGAUUAUACAUGUACAAAAUGCCCAAUAAAUUGUAGUAUGAUCAUUUCUUUGCCGAUUAAUUUGUUAGACAUCUGGUAUAUGCAUAACAAAGUACGCUAAAUGUGGAACUGUUAUAUGAAUUGCUCUAACGUGUUAAAUAUUUAUUAUUAUCCGGUUUAUUCGAGUUAUAUUUGAUCAUAUAUGAUGUGUGUUAAUGUUAAUGUAAAUUCAAACCAAUUUAAUAUGCGAAGUUCAUGAUCUUGGUUCGGUAGCUAUAAAUUUGAGUUCUGCGGAAUAUUACGAUAUCCACAGUUCAUGUUUUCUAUACGAAUAUCAUUAAUUCUAUUGGAUUUCUGCGGAUUUGUAGGAGGAAGUCACUUAGCAUUUAUUUGCUAAUAUUAUUAUUAGUUUGUUCACUAUACAACUAUUUAAAAAUCUUAUGUCAUGCCUACCGCACGAAGUUAUCGAAGAACAAAUCAUAAUUAAUGAAGCAGUCUUAAACAAAUUGGCGCGAUGUGUCAUCGAUGGAUGUGAAAUUUUGUCCACAUAAUACUUUAUUAUAUAUUCCCUAAUUGAAAUGGGAGAAAGAGAGAGAGAGAGAGAGAGAGAGAGA